rnacentral:rRNA from 1 species
UACAGAGGGGGCAAGCGUUGUUCGGAAUUACUGGGCGUAAAGGGCGCGUAGGCGGCCAUCUAAGUCAGACGUGAAAUCCCUCGGCUUAACCGGGGAACUGCGUCUGAUACUGGAUGGCUUGAGUUUGGGAGAGGGAUGCGGAAUUCCAGGUGUAGCGGUGAAAUGCGUAGAUAUCUGGAGGAACACCGGUGGCGAAGGCGGCAUCCUGGACCAAGACUGACACUGAAAAGCGAAAGCCAGGGGAGCAAACGGG